CAAGGCGACGAUCCCUAGCUGGUCUGAGAGGAUGACCAGCCACACUGGAACUGAGACACGGUCCAGACUCCUACGGGAGGCAGCAGUGGGGAAUAUUGCACAAUGGGCGCAAGCCUGAUGCAGCCAUGCCGCGUGUAUGAAGAAGGCCUUCGGGUUGUAAAGUACUUUCAGCGGGGAGGAAGGUGUUGUGGUUAAUAACCGCAGCAAUUGACGUUACCCGCAGAAGAAGCACCGGCUAACUCCGUGCCAGCAGCCGCGGUAAUACGGAGGGUGCAAGCGUUAAUCGGAAUUACUGGGCGUAAAGCGCACGCAGGCGGUCUGUCAAGUCGGAUGUGAAAUCCCCGGGCUCAACCUGGGAACUGCAUUCGAAACUGGCAGGCUUGAGUCUUGUAGAGGGGGGUAGAAUUCCAGGUGUAGCGGUGAAAUGCGUAGAGAUCUGGAGGAAUACCGGUGGCGAAGGCGGCCCCCUGGACAAAGACUGACGCUCAGGUGCGAAAGCGUGGGGAGCAAACAGGAUU
rnacentral:rRNA from 1 species